UACGGGAGGCAGCAGUGGGGAAUAUUGCACAAUGGGCGAAAGCCUGAUGCAGCUAUGCCGCGUGUAUGAAGAAGGCCUUAGGGUUGUAAAAUACUUUCAUCGGGGAGGAAAAAACAAAACUAAUAAUUUUAUUUCUUGACGUUACCCGAAAAAGAAGCACCGGCUAACUCCGUGCCAGCAGCCGCGGUAAUACGGAGGGUGCUAGCGUUAAUCAGAAUUACUGGGCGUAAAGAGCACGUAGGUGGUUUUUUUAAGUCAGAUGUGAAAUCCCUGGGCUUAACCUAGGAACUGCAUUUUGAAACUGAAAUACUAGAGUAUCGUAGAGGGAGGUAGAAUUCUAGGUGUAGCGGUGAAAUGCGUAGAUAUCUGGAGGAAUACCUGUGGCGAAAGCGGCCUCCUAAACGAAUACUGACACUGAGGUGCGAAAGCGUGGGGAGCAAACAGGGAUUAGAUACC
rnacentral:rRNA from 1 species